rnacentral:rRNA from 1 species
UACGUAGGGUGCGAGCGUUAAUCGGAAUUACUGGGCGUAAAGCGUGCGCAGGCGGUUUUGUAAGCCAGAUGUGAAAUCCCAUCGGCUCAACCGUGGAAUCGCUCCCAGUACUGCAUCGCUCGAGGGGGAUAGGGGUCUGCGGAACUACCGGUGGAGCGGUGAAAUGUGUUGAUAUCGGUGGGAACGCCAGUGGCGAAAGCGGCAGACUUGACCCUUCCUGACGCUGAGGCGCGAAAGCUAGGGGAGCAAACGGG